rnacentral:rRNA from 1 species
AGUGAACGCUGGCGGUAGGCCUAACACAUGCAAGUCGAACGGCAGCACAGUAAGAGCUUGCUCUUACGGGUGGCGAGUGGCGGACGGGUGAGGAAUACAUCGGAAUCUACUUUUUCGUGGGGGAUAACGUAGGGAAACUUACGCUAAUACCGCAUACGACCUACGGGUGAAAGCAGGGGAUCUUCGGACCUUGCGCUAUUGAAUGAGCCGAUGUCGGAUUAGCUAGUUGGCGGGGUAAAGGCCCACCAAGGCGACGAUCCGUAGCUGGUCUGAGAGGAUGAUCAGCCACACUGGAACUGAGACACGGUCCAGACUCCUACGGGAGGCAGCAGUGGGGAAUAUUGGACAAUGGGCGCAAGCCUGAUCCAGCCAUACCGCGUGGGUGAAGAAGGCCUUCGGGUUGUAAAGCCCUUUUGUUGGGAAAGAACAGCAGCAGGUUAAUACCCCGCUGUUCUGACGGUACCCAAAGAAUAAGCACCGGCUAACUUCGUG